AUGAAAAUGAAAACCCCAGCUCCUGAAACGAACGCCCUUUUCCUUCCAUCCCCACGUUCACGAGGAGAAGAGAAUCGAGAGAGAGGGUUGCUCCCACCACCACCAUCACCGGCGACGACGCUUCCACCUCCACCGGUGACCACGCUUCGCACCUCCACCACCGGUACCCAACCCCAAGUCUUCUGUUCUCAAAUACCCUCUCCCUAUCUCGGGCUGAUUCUCUUAGUCACCGCAGACUAGGGCAGCGCUACCCACCGCCGGCGACCGCCACCACAAUCGACUUCUGGGCAGUCCGACGUUACCCCACCACGAAGGUCUCUCUCUCUCUCUCCUUGAACUAAUUGCUGAGUUGCUGGGAAAAAAACCUAAAUUCAGUUUAUUGAAAAAAAAAACCCCUAAAUUGUUUCGGUGGGUGUUCAAAGUCAAUCCCUGAAAUUCUAUUUGACUCCCAAAGUAACUUUAUGCAGAAGAAGUUGCCACCCACAGAUUCAAGGCUCAGACCCGAUCAGAGGUGCUUGGCAUGGCAAAUUCAGAGAAGUUGUGCCUCAAGCAACGGCAACGGCAGAUUUUUUAGAAGAAUCCUACCACGAUCAAGAACAAGGAAUGCCGCGACACCACUCUGAAUGGUGCUAUGCAAAAGGGCAAGGACAAAGCUAUGCAAGAGGGAGAUCUCCUUUUUACAUCUAGAUCAUCAAAACCACUACUUCUCUGAUCAUCAAAACUGCUACUAUCCCAGCAAGAGGGAGAGCACAAAGCAGUUCCACAACUCCAAAAUCAAGUUCCCCUAGGUGUAUGGAGCGUCUAGCCAAGAAGAGAUGUUAACGACACUUAGGAUUUUUCUUUUUCAUUUUGCUUGUAAUAUAGCUUAGGGUAGACGAUGUUGAUGAUGUUCGGCUCAUGCCUCUUUUGUAAAACAUUAUGUAUUCAUGUUAGCUAAAUUUAAAACUUCUGUUUCAAUUGCAA